UGUGAUAUUUCUGCCNCUGCAUUAUGUGAAGGGCUGCAGUAUUUUGACUGUAUAAAGGUAGCAUAAUCAUUAGCUUUUUAAUUUGGAGCUGGUAUGAAGAGGUUACACGGGGGCGAUGUAUUAAGGAAAAAUAUUUGAAUUUAAUCGUUUUGUGAAAAAUCAAAGAUUAGUCUAGGGGACAAGAAGACCCUAGAAAAUUUUAUUAUUUUUUGUGAUGAAUACAAGGGGAUUAGUAUAACUUUAGAAAAAUAGUUUGACUGGGGCGGUGAGGUAGUUUAAGAAACACUAUUUAUAGUUUAACUUUGGAUAGGCGAUGUAAUGACCUAAUUUGGUUAGUUGAAAGGAAAAUUACUUUAGGGAUAACAGCGUUAUCAUUUUUGAAAGUUCAAAUUGACGAAGUGGAUUGCGACCUCGAUGUUGGAUUAGGAUAAAUGGUGGUGUAGUAGUCGCUAAAUUUUGGUCUGUUCGACCAGUGGAAUCCUACAUGAUCUGAGUU
rnacentral:rRNA from 1 species